UACGAAGGGCGCAAGCGUUGUCCGGAAUUAUUGGGCGUAAAGAGCUCGUAGGCGGUCUGUUACGUCUGCUGUGAAAACCCGGGGCUUAACCCUGGGCUUGCAGUGGAUACGGGCAGACUAGAGGCAGGUAGGGGAGAAUGGAAUUCCCGGUGUAGCGGUGAAAUGCGCAGAUAUCGGGAGGAACACCCGUGGCGAAGGCGGCUCUCUGGGACGGUACUGACGCUGAGACGCGAAAGCGUGGGGAGCGAACAGG
rnacentral:rRNA from 1 species